rnacentral:rRNA from 1 species
AUUGAACGCUGGCGGCAGGCCUAACACAUGCAAGUCGAACGAGUGGCGGACGGGUGAGUAAUGUCUGGGAAACUGCCCGAUGGAGGUGGAUAACUACUGGAAACGGUAGCUAAUACCGCAUACCAUCGGAUGUGCCCAGAUGGGAUUAGCUAGUAGGUUGGGUAAUGGAUCACCUAGGCGACGAUCCCUAGCUGGUCUGAGAGGAUGACCAGCCACACGGGAACUGAGACACGGUCCAGACUCAUACGGGAGGCAGCAGUGGGGAAUAUGGCAGAAUGGGCGCAAGCCUGAUGCAGCCAGUCCGCGUGUAUGAAGAAGGCCGUCGGGUUGGAAAGUACUGUCAGCGGGGAGGCGUUACUCACAGAAGAAGCACCGGCUAACUCCGUGCCAGCAGCCGCGGUAAUAC